CCCGGGCAUUUUCGAUCGGACGUGCGAUUUUUGUAAAAUUUUUGUUUGACUAAAAGGGACAGUUUCAAUCCUUUUUUUUGAGAAGAGUCACUUUCCAUUCGUUCGGUUCGGUUUGUGUUUUGUAUAUUUAUAACUUUUAUUGGGAUCCGGAAUCCGAAGAAGGUUUUCUUUGAGUUUCAUCCAGCGAAUAUCCUUUCCGUUUCUGUGCCAUUCCACUUGGAGACUUCUGGCGAUUGAUUCUCUAUUGAUUGGAAUCUUUCAUCGAAAAAGGCGUUUUCGACGUAUCCCGUGUGCUGAAAUAAAGGUUUUGGUAAUCCUAAGAACUCAGUCCUGGAAUUAGUGUGAUGAAUUAUUGUGCACCUUGUGGGAGGACGAUGGGCGCUGUUCACUUACGUGCUUCGUUUUGAGUCUGUUUUUGGUAACCAAGACCCGGAGGUGGAGGAUUUUUUCUUGUCUCGGAGAUGUAUGUAAGCAGGGAGUAUGCCGAUCCGCUGUUGCGUGUGGGGUGUUCUGAAUGUGUGUGGCCCUGAUUGAUGUCCAAAAUCCGUUCCAAAGGCAAGAAAUCGCAUUGAGUGUCUCAGUUCUGUGCCAACCUCGGAAGAAUUGUUUUUCGUUAUGCGUUACGGAAAGUGUUAAUUGCGAUCGAUCGUGUCCUACUUCGGUGAAAUCAGAAUUGAGGAAAGUGUUCGGAGAUUUUUCUAACCGAAAGUUGAUAGGUGUAUUCAGAAGGAUCUAUUGCAUCACCAGGUUCUCAUUGGAAUAAAGGACAGCUUAGCAAACAUGAUGUUUGUAUCAAGGAUACAAUAGGAUCUACCGCAAUUUUUACAUU